rnacentral:rRNA from 1 species
UACAGAGGGUGCGAGCGUUGUCCGGAAUCACUGGGCGUAAAGGGCGCGUAGGCGGCCUGAUAAGUAGGGGGUGAAAUCUUGCGGCUCAACCGCAAGGCUGCCUUCUAAACUGUCGAGCUUGAGCACGGUAGAGGCAGAUGGAAUUCCCGGUGUAGCGGUGGAAUGCGUAGAGAUCGGGAAGAACAUCAGUGGCGAAGGCGGUCUGCUGGGCCGUUGCUGACGCUGAGGCGCGACAGCGUGGGGAGCAAACAGG